AUACGUAGGGGGCGAGCGUUGUCCGGAAUUAUUGGGCGUAAAGGGUUCGUAGGCGGUCUUUUAAGUCAGAUGUGAAAGGUCACGGCUCAACCGUGUAAGCAUUUGGAACUGAGAGACUUGAGUUAAGGAGAGGAAAGUGGAAUUCCUAGUGUAGCGGUGAAAUGCGUAGAUAUUAGGAGGAAUACCAGUGGCGAAGGCGACUUUCUGGACUUAAACUGACGCUGAGGAACGAAAGCGUGGGGAGCAAACAGGAUUAGAUACCCUGGUAGUCCACGCCGUAAACGAUGAGUGCUAGGUGUUGGGGGUCAAACCUCGGUGCCGCAGCUAACGCAUUAAGCACUCCGCCUGGGGAGUACGUACGCAAGUAUGAA
rnacentral:rRNA from 1 species